GCAAAGGCUAGGGAACUGGAUCCCCCAGGUGCUGAAUAAGAUGACAGUGAUUAGUCAGGGCCAGCAGAUAUAUGGGCACUAACAGUUUUUUAGAUCCAGGUGGGAGCGGGAGGCUCCAUGCCAAGGUUUCUAAGUGGACUGGGCAGGGACAUUCACAAGCUCUAUGUAAGUGAAGCGGCUAGAGUCCCAGAAAGCUAGAGUGCCUAAAGAUGGGCCUGAGAACCCCGCGACCCAGCUGGGAGGGGGCGGCGGGGAUCCCCAGGUCAAAGGCGCGGUGAGGGGGAGGGAUUCCCACACCACCUGCACCCCCCUCCCUGGCGGCCCUGGCAGGAGAUGGGGGAGGCGAGGCUACCGAGAGAGCUGACCAUGGACAGCUCCGGCGCGGGCCUGUGUCCAGGGCGAGCCGGCCUGGACCGAGGAACGUCGCCGGCUGUUCCAACCAGAAGAUCCCGGGCGGUCGUGGCCCCUUUAACAGAAGACUGACGGACGGCGCUGAAUGGCCAAUGAGAAUUGUCGUCCGUGCCGGCCGGCGACCAGACCCCGCCUCCUCAUCGGGAGGGAGGGGCCGCGCGGGCGGAGAGCUGGGGGCGGGACUCGUGGUGCAGCGACCAAUAGGCAUGCAGCGUGCGGCGGCCUGGGAGGGAGGCGGAGUCCGGCAGAGGAUGAUGUCACCUGAAUCUAGUAGCGCGCAGCGUGGAGCGCGAGUCGCGACCCCGGGUCCCCGCGGCGGCGCGCGUCUCACGGGACACGAGGGCUGGGCGGCGGGAUGGGAAUUCAACAUUCAAGGUGGGAUUUUUUUUUUUAAGACAAGGGCGGCUCCCGGAAGGAUGUGCUCGGUUGGAAGGUGAGGCGAGUGGAUGAUGGGUGGCGAGUGCGUGUUACUCUGCACCCCUGCGCCCGUCUAGGGAACUGCAUGCGCCCCACCAACCCCCGACUCCCACGCAGACGGUGGCACGGCCCGCAGGGUUCCCCCAGCGGAUGGUUCGCUCCGCCCCGCCUACAGAGGCAAUGAUCAGGCUUCUGCUGCGUUUCAAGACUCCCGCGUCCGACUCACAGCAGGGGACCUGCCAGGCCUUGGCCUUCCAAACCUCUUAAGGGUUGGGGACAGUGGUCCUUGGUGUUGCGCCCUGGCACUCACAUCGACGCAGCCUUGGGUCUAGUCUCUGGGACACCGGCCAGCCUCCGCCUUCAGAGCUGCUCGAGCGGUGUCUAUCAUGGUACACACACUGGAAAGAGCUUGUUCUUAACCUCAGCUUCACUGUCCUCCUCCCCCACAGAGACUAUUCCAGGAUGCGCGAUAGACACACAAGACACUCGGUGAGGGUUAAAGAUCUUUAAAUAAGGAGCCAGUGACAAUAAAUAAUACUGUACAGGGGA